rnacentral:lncRNA from 1 species
GGCCUUGUUUGGUUCACAUGAAUGGCUUAGCCAUUCCUCCCUUAUUCAACACAAUGAUCUUAUUCAGGGGUUUGGUUGGCUGUAAAGCCUAUUCAAUGGAAUAGCUAUUACAGCCUUAUUCCUCAAAAUCACUGAAUAGCAAUUCAACGCCAUCACUAAUGAAUGGCUAUUCAACGCUUCCAGUAAUACAAAAAAUUAUUUUUCUUUCCUUUUCUACCCAUCUCACAUCUCUUCAAAUUCCCUACUCCUAUCUGAGAGUUUUUCAACAAAUCUAUCGUGCGGUAUGAAAUUUCUCUGUUUUAUUUAAACUUUUUCUUCUUACUUUCUAUUUACCCUCACCAUUCUCCCAAUAUACCUGUAUAGAACGUUUGGAGUGAGCAAGAAGAGGGGUUUGAAAGACCAGCAGCAGCAGCCAUGGUGAAGAAGAUUAGCGUCACAAAUAAAGCCUUGAUUCCAGGUUUAAUCAAACCCUCAAAAAUGUCCAAGGGUACCUCUUUUUAAUUCUGGUUUCUCAAUGUUGAUUUUUUAUUGUUCUUUUUCAUUGGAUUUAGAGAAAUACCUUUUGAUCUUUUGAAUUUCAGUUUUGAUUCUGAAUUCCUGUGGAAGAAUUUUUCCUCUUUUGGGAGAAAUUUUGAUUUCGCAAAAAUUUUCAAUUAGGUUUAUUGGGUUUAAUUUGUUGCGAUUUGCACUUAGAUUGAAAGCGUCUUUUGGGAAUUAAAGCGAGAUCUCACAAGUUCUACUUAAUGGCAUGACCUAGUUUUUUUCUUUUGGAAGAUGAUCCUUUCAUCUUUGUGCUUAGAUCAUAGUAUUUAUCUAUUUUUCCUUAAAAAGUCUGAUAUUUUGGUUUAUGUUGUAAUUUGAUCAUGGCAUUGUUGUUGAGGAAUCAUAGGCAUCACAGGGGGUUCAAAAAGGGUUGCUCAUUGUCUUUUAGCAUGGAGGGAGAGGCCAUGGAUUUGGCAUAUUAAAUAGUUGUUUCUUCAUAUUAAGAAGUUAGAGAGGUAGGAGAUGGUUAAAGUGGUAAAGGCAAGGAGAAAUUCUGUGCUUGUAAGGAAGAAUUCGGUAAGUAUUCCUUGAAAUUUACACACACUUACUCAUUUAGUUAAUUGUCAAGUCGAAUUAAACUAGUUGGUGACUUCAAUUAAGUUGUCUGAAUUUUAUUAUUAAACUGUCAAUUAGCUGCUGUUGAUUUUUGGUUAGGAGCAAAUAAAUCAUGUUGGAAAUUUGAAGAAAUGGUUGUGAAUAAAAAAAAAUGACUGUUUUUGGUUAUGGUGUGAGUUUAAGUUAUUUCUUGAAUGAUUUAUUGUACUCUAAUGCUGGUAUGUGUGAUGAAAAUUGAAGGAAAAGUCUUGAUGAUUGUUAGUUGUUGAGUGAACUGUCGAGGAAUGCAAACUCCAUGCAUGCUGUCAGAAUAUGACUUUUUGUAAUGAAAUUAAGGUAACAUGCUGCUGGAAUUGAUUAAAUAUUAAUGUCCUAAGCUGAAAUUAGAAGAUGUCAUAGUUAUAAUUAAGAUUUCCUACUGCUUGGUCUUGAUUAAAAUGUAAGUAUUUAUGCUGUAAGUAUUUAUGUUGUCUUAAACCAUUAUCUAAAGUGGAUUAAUUGUCGUAAUUUAAACGGUCUUAAUAAUGAAAUUGUGGUAUCUUCAAAUGACAAAUUAGGAGGGGUUAUAGCUGUGAUUUAUAGUGCUUUGGUGCCGUGGUUAAAAUGUGUAACUCUGGGAUUGAUAUUGAUGAUGUGUCGUUAAUGAGUAAACUGCGUUUUAUUUGCCGAAUGACUUGUUAUUUUAGAAGUAUAAAUUGAGUGUUGCUAAUGGUGAGUUUUCUUUAAACUCGUUUUGUUAUUUUCAUACUUAAUAUAUAUAUAUUAUUAGAAUUGAUGUUUCGGUUUUGAUUUAAUGGCUGAAAAUGUUCUUUAAAUUUUCAAGGCUACUUACUAUCUAGCAUUAGCUAGAUUCGUUUAUUGUAAGUUUAAAUGCUGCUCGGAAAUAGUGUAAAAAUUACUGCUAUCCAAUUUUGUGCCCUUAUUUUGCUGUCCAAAAUUUGAACAAAUUAAUGGUUCUAUUUUCAUGUUGAUUGAGGGCUGUAAAGACAGUCCCAUUUGUUGCAUUAUGCUAUUCAGUUUUGGGACCAAAUAAUUGAGUAUUACUGGAUUAAAAAUCAUGGAUUGUUGCUGUGAUGAACUAAUAAAUUUUAAUACUAUUGAGUGUGUUCUUGGGGGAUACAAAUGCCCUGCAUGUUGCUGUCUUGUGCUGUCCAAAAUAGGACAAAUUGAAUGUGCUUGUGAGUGAGUUUUUCAAAGGAAACUUUGCAAAUUCUCAUGUUUAAAUUCUGAAGUUUGCAUGCAGGUAAGCUAUGGUUGUAGGGGUUUAUAAAUCGAGUUUAGUAGCUAAAAUAUUAUGUUAUUCUUGCUAAGUUCGGUUGUUAGUAGUGAAGUGAAAAUUUGACAAUUAAAUGCUUAAAUGACUGCUGGAAACUACAGCUUGAAAGCUCAUUAUUCCAGCAUAUAAAUACUUAUUUGAAUGUGUUGUAAUAUGUAGAGCAAUUGGUCUGCUGCAUGUAUGAAAUAAAAGAAAAACAAUAGUUGUUAAAUAUUAGUUUUUGUUGCUGAUCGAAAAGGUUAAAUUCGUUGUUAAAGGGGAUGUAAAUUGGUGUUAAUUAAGCUGUCGGAUAGGGCUAAUAAAACAGUUUGAAUGUGAUGCUAUUAAGCUGAUUUAAUGUAAGGUGAACUUUUUUUUUCAAAAACAAGCACAUUAUGAUUGAUCUUGGCAUCGAUAAUAACAAGAUUAACUGGGCUCUCAAGGACAAACAGGAGUUCAGAGACAUCAUUGGGACUGUAUAUCGUGAGGCAUGGAAAGGCCGUGGUUUGAAAGAUUACUCGAAAAAGUACUGCUAUUGAGUAUUCUUCCAACAUGUAGUUGAUCAGAAUGUAAAUUGUAUGUAGAUAUGUGUGUCAUUUGCAUUGUUUGGUUGCAUGAAUGUGGAGGAUAAUCCAAUUUGAGAUGAAACUUUGAAAUAUAUAUUUUAUGUGCUCUUUUGAUGCUUGUUUACAGUAUAGCACCUUAGCUUGGAGUGACUUUCCUUACAGUUGUUUGAUAAGGAACAAGUGUUUUAAUUUAACUAUAUAAAAAUAUAAAUGAUAUGUUUAUAAAGAUGAUAAUAUGUUGAUUCAGCCAUGGUUGUAGACGAAUCUUCCAAUUAACUCAAUUGAAGAUUAUAUAAACUUGAUUUUUAUUAUAUAAAAGAUAAAAGAAAUUUAGUAAAGGAAGAAAAAGAGUGCAAGGAAAAAAUAAAUGGAUAAUGG